CUAAGAAUCUUGCGCAAUGGGCGAAAGCCUGACGCAGCAACGCCGCGUGGGGGACGAAGGCCUUCGGGUUGUAAACCCCUUUUGCGAGGGAAGAAGUUCUGACGGUACCUCGCGAAUAAGCCACGGCUAACUACGUGCCAGCAGCCGCGGUAAUACGUAGGUGGCGAGCGUUGUCCGGAUUUAUUGGGCGUAAAGAGCCCGCAGGCGGCUUGGCAAGUUUCAGGUGAAAUCUCCCGGCUUAACCGGGAGGGUGCCCGGAAAACUGCCAGGCUUGAGGCAUGGAGAGGGAUGCGGAAUUCCCGGUGUAGUGGUGAAAUGCGUAGAUAUCGGGAGGAACACCAGUGGCGAAGGCGGCAUCCUGGCCAUGUCCUGACGCUCAGGGGCGAAAGCGUGGGGAGCAAACCGGAUUAGAUACCCCCGUAGUCC
rnacentral:rRNA from 1 species